GUCAAGCCAGGACCCGCCCACGGUCUAUUCAUAGGGUCCCAAACCACUUUGGCCACAACACCCCCAGACUGGUCCGAAGCCUCGUGAGUUCGCCCUGGUCGUUGCACUCCAGCCUGUCGCUGUGCAGACCUGGCUUAGAGGACCCCUAAGGCUGAGGGGUCACUUCCAGAACUGAGUCCGGUCCGCAGGUUCUGCUACGCUCCAGCCAGCCCCUAACUGGUCCCCAGAAGCGGCGCUGCUACAGGGACCAGGAGCUGCUGCGAACUGCGCUGGCGGGGGCUCGUCCUUGGGCGCGGGGCUUCAUCAUGGACACGCUCUCGGCCCAGGCCGCGAAACAAGCCCGCGUGACUGGCGGAGGCACAGAGACCAAGGCCGCUUAACCUGGCUGGUUGCACUGGUCCCUGGAGAGCACUGAGCACAGGGGCUGCCACAGUGGCCGGCUCAGACAUGGCAGAGAUCAGCAGAGAAUGGGCAAUCAGGCUCCCCUGAGAUGAGCAGCAGCGCAGAGGAGGUGCCCCUCUCUUACUACACCAACUUCAGAGGGCGUCCCCUGCAGGAGAGCUUCAUGCGCCUGGUGGAGGCCUGUGGGGACUCGGAGCAAAGCAUGGACAACUGGCUGAGUCGGCUGGACGGCUGCCGCUGACUGUAACAUGUAAAGCAGGCACUGAGCACCACCUGCCUGGCAGUCCAGGGCAUGGAGAGAUGCCGUGUGAAGGGAGGACUCAGAUGCACUCCCUGUGGUCUGGGCUCAACCAGCCAAAAGAGCAACAAAGACUCCAGAACCCACUCUACCUCCUCAAUCCCUUGGCCAUCUGUGGAGCCCCAGAGCCUGCGGCUGUGGCAAGGCCUGUUUCUGCGCUGGACCUGCUCACCUGAGCCUGCAGAAGCUGCAUGGGGGAAGAGUGUGGCAAAUAGUGACAGGAAGGGAGAAGACAGAAGCCUCUCAGCCAACUGCUUCAGCCGAGCCCCUAUUCUAAGCACUGGCUCCUUGGAUAGCAGCUGAGAUGUUCCUGAAACCUCUGCAGGCCCCUUAGGACCUUUACACCUUGGAUGAGGGUGCCUGCAACCCAGGUUAGCCAAAAGUACUGAGGGUCUUAAGUUUGAAGUGUCCAAAGUAUAGGGAGGUCUCAAUAAUAAAAGUCUCCAUGAUCAGC
rnacentral:lncRNA from 1 species